CAGACACACAUCCACACACACACACACACACGCACACAUGCGCUCGAGAAAAUAUACUUGUUCUCGGCUGCUCCUACACACUUGACACUUUCUCAGCUCCAGCAGUUUCUCAUCAUGUUAAUCAGCUCUUCAAGGAACUGUGUGAAUUCAGUGCAGAGUGGAGGAAGACCGAAGAGGAAGAGGAAGAGAAGUUCUAUUCUGGAAGACAUGUUCCUCAGCCAUGGCCUCAGCUGACACCGUGGAGCCAUGGCCUCAGCUGACACCGUGGAGCCCCCCCCCCCCCCGAAGCCCACCUCCCCGCUCCAUCUCAACCCCCUUCAGGAGCGGCCUGGUGAAACUUACAGGAGUCUGUCCGAAAACACAGCUCAUGGGGUUGGCUCGCCGCUCCAGGACUAACUGCACUUCU